rnacentral:rRNA from 1 species
CCACCGCUAUCAAGUUCCGACUAAGCCAUGCGAGUCAAGGUAUCGUAAGAUGCCGGCAAACUGCUCAGUAACACGUGGAUAAUCUAACCUUGAGUAAGGGAUAACCUCGGGAAACUGAGGAUAAUACCUUAUAAUUGCUUAAAACUGGAAUGUUUAAGCAAUAAAAGUUCCGACGCUCAAGGAUGAGUCUGCGACCUAUCAGGUAGUAGGUGGUGUAAUGGACCACCUAGCCUCAGACGGGUACGGGCCCUGGGAGGGGUAGCCCGGAGAUGGACUCUGAGACAUCAGUCCAGGCCCUACGGGGCGCAGCAGGCGCGAACACUGUGCAAUGCGCGAAAGCGCGACACGGGGAGCUUGAGUGUCUUGGCAUAGCCAAGACUUUUCUCAUUCCUAAAAAGCAUGAGGAAUAAGUGCUGGGUAAGACGGGUGCCAGCCGCCGCGGUAACACCCGCAGCACAAGUGGUGGUCACUUUUAUUGAGCCUAAAGCGUUCGUAGCCGGUUUUGUAAAUCUUUA